UUAUUACUCCAUCUGUCCCAUAAAAUUUGUCUUAAAUUUAUCUAGAUAUGAAUAUACGUAGUCAUACUUUAGUGUUACGAUACAUUCAUUUGUAGACAAACGUAAGACAAAAUUUAUGGAACGGAAGGAGUACUAU
rnacentral:pre_miRNA from 1 species